UACGUAGGGUGCGAGCGUUGUCCGGAAUUAUUGGGCGUAAAGAGCUCGUAGGCGGUCUGUCGCGUCGGUCGUGAAAACUUGGGGCUUAACCCUGAGCUUGCGGUCGAUACGGGCAUGACUGGAGUUCGGCAGGGGAGACUGGAAUUCCUGGUGUAGCGGUGGAAUGCGCAGAUAUCAGGAGGAACACCGAUGGCGAAGGCAGGUCUCUGGGCCACUACUGACGCUGAGAAGCGAAAGCAUGGGGAGCGAACAGG
rnacentral:rRNA from 1 species